UGGUCCACAUUCUCUGGGCUUUUCUACCCAGCCCAUCCCAGACCUCCUUUAAAUUCUUGAUCCCGCAGAGACAGGGCUGUCUUCUUCCGCGGUAGCUGCUGUGACUUGUGUGUCCUCAUCUCUUCCCACUCAGCCAGGAAAGAUGGUUUUGACAGAAGAAGAAAUUAUGAGGCUCUAUAGGGUUCGAAAAACAGUGAUGCAAAUGCUGAAAGAUCGGGACUAUCUGAUUGUUGAUCAUGAUCUCAACAUGACAAUGUCGCAGUUUAAAAACAAACAUGGAGAGAACAUGAAAAGGGAGGACCUUCCUAUCAAUACAAGGAAGAGAGGUGACGAGUCUGAUCAGGUAUUUGAUUUGGGCAUGAAUCAGGAGAAUGUGAUUAGAGCAAUCUAAUUAGUUGCUCAACAAAAUCUGACUCCUUUUGCAAAGACCUCCAUUAGUGAGAUGGGUUCAAAGUACCACUUGGGAGAUUUUCCAGGUGAAGUUUAAUUGUUUAAAUUUUUUUUAGAAUGAAGUUUUGUUCUUGAAAUAUUGUGAUUGUUAUGAUAGUCUAUUACCUUACAUAUUGGAAACUUAAGGUACCAGAAACUUAGUAUCAGAAAUAUGAAAACUAUACGCAGAUAGGUCUAUGCUGAAUAAUUGGACCGUUAAUAACCAACGACUUAUGCGUUCGAGAGCUUAGUUUAUCUCUAUUCUAAUGCCGUUUUUGAUUCACAAGUAAUGUGAUUGAAUGCACUUAAUAGCAUAUUGUCAUUCUGACACUUAAAAGUGACAAUUUGGAUGCAUAGGGUUAUCUGAUAACGCUAGUUAAUAGAGAUGACCAACUGACAGACGCAUCAAACUUUAACUAGGCCUGUCUUGGGUUCCAAGUGAAGUCGAGAAAGAUGUUCUUAUUGCUAUCUAAUGCGGCAUAUCUGUGUGGUGUUUGCACAUUGGGAGAACAAAAUAACAAUCGGCUUCUUCCACUUUGAGCUUCUUUGCGUAAACUGCUUUGUGCUUCUUCCAUUUGGCUCUGGAUGAAGGCAUUGCCCUGGAAUUCAACUAGGCCUAACUGUUGUCCAGUUAGUGCUGUUACAACUUGUGCAUUGUUUUGAUUGGGAACUUCCAGAAAACAUGUCACCGAAUGAUUUGGACGUGAUGGAAGAAUUUGGAAUAACAGUUCCUAGGGCCAGGAAUCUACUGGCAAUUCCGUCAUUCGCCUUCACAAAUGAUCACAAUGUGUAUGUAAUGGCUAGUUCCCACUUGUGGCGGGAUUAUCUUAAUGUUCUGUUUCUCUAUUCUAUGUGAUCACUAUUGUAGCAUCUUGUGUUUGCUUUCUUUUGGAUACGGGAAAGCAGUAAUGAAGUAAUAUGGUGUAAUACAGUUAAAUUUAGGAGGGCUGUUUUCAUCUUUGUUGAAUGGUGUCAAUGGGUAUGUUUAGAGGUUUGCUGAGUUUUUGUUCCCACUGUAAAUUGGUUUAAUUAGAUAGAUUUUCGAAACUAUUAUCCAGAAUAAAGUUCUCUAUCUUUUUGGCAUGUAGUGAGGGAAAAUCUGCAAGUGCAUUUUGAAGUGAGAAGGCUGCCUGGUGGUUUGGGAUACUUCAUUUGCCGGCAGAGGUGAGUCUCCUACUACAGAUUUAUUGUGAACUUUUUGUUCCUCCCUGAAUUUUGUUAGUUUUGGUAGUUUACAUUUUCUUAUUUUUAGAUGUUUUAAAUAUAUUUCUCUGGUUCAGGGAAACCAAAAGGUUAAGUUGAGAGUUCAAUAGAAUUAUAUGAGUCCUGGGACUUUUCAAAAAUGUAUAUAUGCAGGACUGUAAGAGUUUUGUAGAAAUAUAACUGCAUGCUAGAACAAUUGAAAAGUUUAUAUCAUGAUUAGCUUUAGGGUUUACACUUAACAGUAGUCCUCGACUGCUGGAACAAUUUGUCAAUCGGUAUGGAUGUGUGACAUCCCUGUCUAAACCCAGGUUGGAGGAAUUUUCCAGGUUUCGCAUUUAGAACCACUGAGAUAGACACUUUAGUUAUGCAGCAGGUAAUUAGUCGAAACCAACCAGCAUCAAAACCCGUCUUAGUACGCCAAUCUCAAAUCUUGGUUCAUUUAGUUAACUUUAGGUUAUACACCUCACAUUAAGAACAGCACCUCAAUUUCUAGGGACCAUCUGCAGAGAACAUCUAAUUUAAGUGGUGGUGAUCAAGUGAAAGAACCUCGUCUUAGCAUCACCAGUAGUUAAGUAGCACACUAUAGGUCUUUCCAUCCAAUGCUGUUCUUCAUUCUUACAGAGUCAAGAGACCAAGAGUAUUCAUGUUUUGGUGAUCAAGAGAAUCAUAGAGAAUCUAUGUUCUGGAUCUAAUUCAGCUUCGAUAUUUGACAGCUCACUUGUUCUUCUAAGCUAACAAAGUAUCUUUGGACUGUGAAAAGCAAGUACAAGGAAACCCUGGUACUCGCACAUAUGGGUGCAAUGCAGCCCUUAUUGUAUUAGGUGACUGACCAAUAGUAACAGAGCUUCUGUGUAAACUCAACUUUUUGUACCGAAUUAUUAUUACUUCAUUAGUGAUGGGCUCGUCUGUUGGAUCCAAAUUGCAUUAUUGUAAAAUUUUAUGUUCACAAUUUCAAAUUGCAUUAUUGUAGUUGUUGUAGUAAGUGACUUCAUAUACAAUGAAGGGAUAUCAAUCUCUUGGUCUGAAAUCAAGAAAGGCACCAGACGAAAUGGUGCUUCAGGUAUCUUGGCAUUGAGUUUUGAUGACUUACCAUCCCACUUAAAUCUGUGCUUUCUAUAUUAGCCCAAUUUCCAAAAGAUUAUGAAAUACCGGUGAAAAGGUUGACUCAAUUAUGGACUGCAGAAGAUAUUAUAUCCUCGAGAAAUGCAUGGUUCAGUGGAGACAAUGGAAGAUGUAUCGUAUAGUCUCCUGAUCAAUUGAAUUGGUGGAGAGGUGCAUAGUUCAAGUUGUUAAACCUGGUUUAAAUGGGAAGGUUAAAAACUUGCCGACUCCAUGAUAUUAUGCAAGACUUGUCCUUGUUAAAGGCUAUAGAGUAGAAUUUUCUCCAUGUUCGUUGAUUUUUCAUCUGCAGACUCAGAAACCAUGGCACCAAUAACAGGUAGGGUCAGAACCUUCGGUCUCUGUUAUACUUUUUAUCCAUAAAUGGACCAGAAAGUUGUUACCAUCACAUUUCAAGGAAUUCAAAUUGCUUUGAGUUUUGAAGUUGGAACAAAUGGAGGGAAAGGUAAAGUUACUGAGUGCUAUUGGGAUUCUAGUUCACUUGAGGUUUUCAAGUCUAAAGAAUAGUGUGAGGGAACCCUUGCCAUCAUCAAUAGCUAAUUUGGUAUGUCUGCAAACUCUAUACUUACAUGUGUGCGGGGUGUGUUUGGGAAUAUGAAGCAACUGGGGAAUUUGUUAUUACCGCAAGAUCAUUUACAAAGCGAAAAAUUGUCAUUCUCUAAUCUUGGCAAUUGGAAUCAUCAAGAGGUUGAACAUUUGGAGGAAAUCCUGAAAUCAAGAAGAAUCACAUUUAACCAACUUCGAUCUCUAUCACUGGAUGUGCAAAACGGUGAAGGGAUGUGCCAAUGGAUAUAAUAUUAAAUCUAUACAAGCUCCAGUUGACCAGGGGAAUCACAAAGUUACUGGAAGACCUGUUGUGCUUUCCAAACCUCACCAAGAUAAUCCUGAAGGGAACUGAGGUUGAGGAGAACCACCAAUUAGACAUUUUACAGAAGCUCCAAAACUUUAGAGUGCUUACCCUUGGAGUUAGUACUUUUGAGUUGGAGACAAUGAUUUUCUCAGAAUGAGGCUUUCCUUGUCUUGAAUGUCUUACCCUUGAUAAAUUGAUCUUAAAUGAGUUGAGGUUGGAGAAGGGAGCCAUGCCUAGUGAACAUUGAAGUUUUAUCAUUGCAAAAAAAGGAGGGAAGUACCAGAGGGGCCUGAUAUAUAUUACUACCCUCAAGGAACUAAGCAUCAACUAUGUACAGUGAAAUCUGCAGUAGACUUGUUGAAGGAGGAGAGGAGUUUGAAAAGAUCAAACAUGUGCCUUCUGUUGUAUUCACAAAUAUUUAAACCAAAAAACAAAGCUCGACCUUCUGGUAUUCGAAAGGCUGCAGCAAAGGAACAACAAGUUUUGUUUGAUCUCAGCUCCAAGGUGUUGUAUCUCAGUGCAGACAUGAGUUACAGAGUGGUGUUUGGAAAGAAGUAUAUGGAUGAGGAGUUUAACGAGAGGGGUUUCAAUAGUCUGUGAUUCAAUGCUUGCAAUUGAAUAGCAAAUGUAGUGGGAAUGGAGAGGAUGGUGGAGUAACCAGACUUGGAGAAGUUGGAGAUACCCAAAAGUGUAUUGGCAAAUUGGGAGAGACCCUAAUGCUUGAAUUGGACAUCAUGGGGAGGAGUUUGGAAUCUCGGUUCCAAGGGCCAAGCAUCUAGUAGCUAUUCCAUCAUAUCACCUUCACAAACGAUUAUAAUGCGUAUGUAAUGUUUACUUUCCUACUUGUGGAUUAUCUUGAUUUUCUGCUUUUCUAUUAUACAUUAUCACUCUUUUUUUUCCCUUUCUUUUGUAAAGAAGAAGCUAAUUAAUAUAUUGGUUUAAAUAAGAUUGGGAGAGAACGAGGGAUGUUUA